rnacentral:rRNA from 1 species
CGACUAAUGUUGAAAAAUUAGCGGAUGACUUGUGGCUGGGGGUGAAAGGCCAAUCAAACCGGGAGAUAGCUGGUUCUCCCCGAAAGCUAUUUAGGUAGCGCCUCGUGAAUUCAUCUUCGGGGGUAGAGCACUGUUUCGGCUAGGGGGUCAUCCCGACUUACCAACCGAUGCAAACUACGAAUACCGAAGAAUGUUAUCACGGGAGACACACGGCGGGUGCUAACGUCCGUCGUGAAGAGGGAAACAACCCAGACCGCCAGCUAAGGUCCCAAAGUCAUGGUUAAGUGGGAAACGAUGUGGGAAGGCACAGACAGCCAGGAUGUUGGCUUAGAAGCAGCCAUCAUUUAAAGAAAGCGUAAUAGCUCACUGGUCGAGUCGGCCUGCGCGGAAGAUGUAACGGGGCUAAACCAUGCACCGAAGCUGCGGCAGCGACACUAUGUGUUGUUGGGUAGGG